rnacentral:tRNA from 2 species
GCUCUAAUAGCUUAAUGGUAAAGCCUUAUAAUGUCACUAUAAGAGAUGACGGUUCAAGCCCGUUUUAGAGCG